rnacentral:rRNA from 1 species
CAAUAGCGUAUAUUAAAGUUGUUGCAGUUAAAAAGCUCGUAGUUGGAUUUCUGGUAGGAGUGACCGUUCCGAACUUGAUUGUUCGUGUAUUGUGUUUUCUCCAGCCAUCCUUGUGGAGAACUUUUCUUGCAUUAAUUUGCAGGGAUUGGGACCCGCAUCGUUUACUGUGAAAAAAUUAGAGUGUUUAAAGCAGGCAAUCGCUUGAAUACAUUAGCAUGGAAUAAUAAGAUAGGACUUUGGUACUAUUUUGUUGGUUUGCAUACCAAAUUAAUGAUCAACAGGAACAGUUUGAGGAUAUUCGUAUGAACAUGUCAGAGGUGAAAUUCUUGGAUUUUGAUCAGACGAACUACUGCGAAAGCAUUUAUCAAGGAUGUUUUCAUUAA